rnacentral:rRNA from 1 species
GACGAACGCUGGCGGCGUGCUUAACACAUGCAAGUCGAACGGAAAGGCCCUGCUUUUGUGGGGUGCUCGAGUGGCGAACGGGUGAGUAACACGUGAGUAACCUGCCCUUGACUUUGGGAUAACUUCAGGAAACUGGGGCUAAUACCGGAUAGGAGCUCCUGCUGCAUGGUGGGAGUUGGAAAGUUUCGGCGGUUGGGGAUGGACUCGCGGCUUAUCAGCUUGUUGGUGGGGUAGUGGCUGACCAAGGCUUUGACGGGUAGCCGGCCUGAGAGGGUGACCGGCCACCUUGGGACUGAGAUACGGCCCAGACUCCUACGGGAGGCAGCAGUGGGGAAUAUUGCACAAUGGGCGGACGCCUGAUGCAGCAACGCCGCGUGCGGGAUGACGGCCUUCGGGUUGUAAACCGCUUUCGCCUGUGACGAAGCGUGAGUGACGGUAAUGGGUAAAGAAGCACCGGCUAACUACGUG